rnacentral:rRNA from 1 species
UACGUAGGGUGCAAGCGUUGUCCGGAAUUAUUGGGCGUAAAGAGCUCGUAGGCGGUUUGUCGCGUCUGCUGUGAAAACUCGGGGCUUAACCCCGGGCCUGCAGUGGGUACGGGCAGACUAGAGUGCGGUAGGGGGAGACUGGAAUUCCUGGUGUAGCGGUGAAAUGCGCAGAUAUCAGGAGGAACACCGGUGGCGAAGGCGGGUCUCUGGGCCGUAACUGACGCUGAGGAGCGAAAGCGUGGGGAUCAAACAGG